AAUUGCAGGUCUGAGGCACUUGGCCAUGGUAUGAUAAAUUGCAGGUCUGAGGUACUUGGCCAUGGUAUGAUAAAUUGCAGGUCUGAGGUACUUGGCCAUGGUAUGAUAAAUUGCAGGUCUGAGGUACUUGGCCAUGGUAUGAUAAAUUGCAGGUCUGAGGUACUUGGCCAUGGUAUGAUAAAUUGCAGGUCUAAGGUACUUGGCCAUGGUAUGAUAAAUUGCAGGUCUAAGGCACUUGGCCAUGGUAUGAUAAAUUGCAGGUCUGAGGUACUUGGCCAUGGUAUGAAAAGUUGCAGGUAUGAGAUACUUGGCCAUGGUAUGAUAAAUUGCAGGUCUAAGGCACUUGGCCAUGGUAUGAUAAAUUGCAGGUCUAAGGUACAUGGCCAUGGUAUGAUAAAUUGCAGGUCUAAGGCACUUGGCCAUGGUGUGAUAG
rnacentral:misc_RNA from 1 species